CGAUGGUUGACUUUGAC
rnacentral:sRNA from 1 species